CAUAAAAACACAUGCAUCCUACGUCCACAAUAUAAUACCAACCAAAAGAGAGCCCUCUGAGCCCCUAAACCAUCAUACAGCUCCAUUGUGAGAAAGAAAACGACUAGUAGACCUAAAAAUCACGUACAACGUACAUAUUUUUAACAAGUUGAAAAAAAAAAGGCAUAUUCAAGAUAAGUUGUAUUCAAUAUACAAUUUGUGAAAACCAAUGCAUGUGCAAUAAUCAAAGAAUAUGAUGGCGAAAUUAAGGAAAACUGACCAACCGUUUUGAUGGAGUGAUGGAGCUCAAAUCGAUAGGUAGAUGUUCAUAUCAAUCUUUCAAAUUAGGCGAAGGAUUUGCGAUUCACGUAUGUCAACCAUUAUUUAUUAUGAGCACAUGUUUU
rnacentral:lncRNA from 1 species